rnacentral:pre_miRNA from 1 species
AAUAAACCAAUUUUUCACUUUUUACCUAUAAUUUUUUAUUAUUCGUUUUAUUUAAAUUUUGUUGUGAUUGAUAUUUUUAUUUUUAUUAGAUGAUAAAUCAUGAAUAGUACUUUACGUGUGACUAAUUUUUUUCUAAUUUUCUAAAUUUUUUUUUAAAUAAGACGGAUGAUCAAACGUUAGACACGAAAACUGAAG